rnacentral:rRNA from 1 species
AGCUCCAAUAGCGUAUUGUAAAGUUGUUGCAGUUAAAAAGCUCGUAGUUGGAUUUCGGGCUCGACGGCGACGGUCAGCCGCAAGGUAUGUCACUGUCGGCGUUGGCCUUCUUCGCGCAGACUUCGCGUGCUCUUAACUGAGUGUGCGUCGGAUACGCGACGUUUACUUUGAAAAAAUUAGAGUGUUCAAAGCAGGCUCGUGCUUGGAUACAUAAGCAUGGAAUAAUGGAAUAGGACUUUGGUUCUAUUUUCCGUUGGUUUCUGGAACCGAAGUAAUGAUUAAUAGGGACAGUUGGGGGCAUUCGUAUUUCGUUGUCAGAGGUGAAAUUCUUGGAUUUACGAAAGACGAACUAAUGCGAAAGCAUUUGCCAAGAAUGUUUUCAUUAAUCAAGAACGAAAGU